CCCAGUUAAAAGAGGAUUCUUUGGUCGUUUUACUCUCGAAUCUCGACUUUUACUGUCGACUUUUACUCUCGACCUAUAGACCCAUUGCACUGACGUCACAAAUCCUUAGAGUGUCCUCCAGAUGCUCCCUAACAAUAUCUGUUUGGGUACAACAACCACAUACAGCGCAAAAAUUAACCAUUUUAAUACAAAAUUAUUAUAAAGUUUUACAAAAUUUGCUUUGUUUACAAAAGUUAUAUUAUGCAUAGAUUGCUAAUUUGUCCUCCAGAUGCAUCGUCGCCGGCCCUAUGACGUCAUGUGCAAUGGGUCUAUACUCUCGACCCUCGACUUUUAGAUAUGUACACUCCUUCCUUGAGUAAACCUGAAUGCUUUAAUUUGCACUUUUGUAGUUCUUUCGUGUGUUUUGCUUAUACAAAUGGAAAUUAUUGGAAACACCCCCCACCCCCCCGGUUCCGACGGCCUUGUGCAUAUUUCACCAACUUGCAAUUUCUUAUUCAACUUGC